CACAGUAUGUAUUACAGUCUAAAAUGUACAAGCAUUUUUUGAAAAUUAUCUAGAAUCGAAGUGUUAUGGACUGUAACUUGUAGUUAAAGACUGUAUCAAUGAUAUGUCAUCAUGUCAGCCCAAGGGUGAUGACCACUGAGCUGGUAUUACCCUCGGGAACGAAAUGUAUACCAUUGCCACCAAACCAAUGACUGUAAUACCCAUCACAGAUACAAAUCAGACUAUUCAACACGCCAAAUGCGUUAAUAGAAGGUAAGUCAAAUGUACAUUCAUUUAAGACACAAAAUUAAUACACGCACUUGACUACACACAGGAGGAAAAACCCUAGCAUUACUGGAAAUAUUGCUGAGGAUGUUUUAAAAAAGGAAAUGAUACAACCAGUGAUUAUGAAUAAUGACAUGUUCAAAAUACAGAUUACCGUAUGUAUUUUUUAUGCAUGACAAAUUUACGUCUACUGAGGCCCACACCAAUGUGUACUUUUUAAUUCUUUCCAGGAUAUACACUUUCAUAAACUCUAAUCCAACAAAAAUGGAGGAUAACUUAACUGCUUGACAACAAGAUAUAGAAAAGCAAUCAUAUGAAUGAGUUCACCAUAAUUCCUCGCUUAACUGCAAUAUUUAUCCACGUUUAUGUAAUCCGAUGGAAAAGACGGCACUAGCACCAGUUGGAACAUUCACAACUACCUGUAUCUGUAUGUCAUUAAUUGGAAUUUUAUCAUUUUGUUUACGUCUCCACAUUGUAUUUGAAAUCAAUUUCGGUGUUUGAUGUGGUCUGUUUUACUAUCAGACAUUUUUGGGGAUUCAUGCAGUUUUGUUCGAGCGUCACUGAUGAGUAUUUUGAAAACGAAACGCGCGUCUUGUGUACAAAAUUUUAAUCCUAGGAUCUUUGAUGAGUUUAUUGUUGAGUAGUUUUUCAGACAUUUCAGUAUGAUGUGUUUGUGUACCGGUACAAAACAACUGAUGAAUAAUCUGAACAUCGACUGAGUGGAUCUUAACUAUAUUUCUAAGAUUUUUCGUGAGAUAUAAUAAUGCAUUGACAAACAAUAGCUCUUUAAAGUUAACCCCUGAACAAAAAGUUUUAUAAUCCAGGUAACACCUUACUGCGCAUGUCCAUAUGUAACAUCGUAUACCUCGGGCUACAAUAGAAUGCCAUUUAAUUCAGCUCUCUUUGAGUGAAGAUGUCUUUUCAAAUUAUUAAAAGGUUAGUAUUCUAUAAUUUAGUGAGCAUGUCUAACGCCCAACUCAAGGACAUUCCAGUUGGUCCUGCUAUACCGACACGAGAGAGCGGUGCACUUGAUUCAGAUGACCAUAGAGUCGUUGAAGAGAACGAAAGUUAUACCGCAGUGGAGGUAGAAAAUAACAAGGUAGUUGAGUCAUUGGACUCUUCUCAUAAAGCGAGGAAAAAUAUUUCUUCUCGUCCAGAUGAUUUUAUGUCGUUAGUCGACGGUACGGAAGAAGAUGUUAGACAGAGCUGGUCUGACAAAGAGGAUACUAGUACACAAAAACGGAAACGGGACGAUUCCGUAGCUCUCAAGAAAGGUAAAAUUAAACGCAAGAAAGCUGUUAAUCAGUAUACUUCUAGCAGUGCUGAUGAUAAUGCAAGUAGUAGUGAAUCUUCAAGUAGCUCUGAAUCAGAGAGUUCAGAAGACAAUGAAGUAUUUGACUCCGAACCUUCUUUGUCUAAAGAUAAAAAGAAAAAGUUCCAUCUCAUGUCACUAAGUAUAAAGAGAAGUAUGUUCUAAGAGGUAUAAGUAAAAAUACAAGACAAGAUAUGUCUUUGAAUUGGCCUAUUCCUUCUUCUAAAGGAUUAAAGGCUCUGGAAACAGAUAGAUUAUUUAGGAAAAAAUAUUUUCAAGGUAGAAAGUGGAAUGCUAGACUAGAGAGGAGUAAAAUUAAUACUCAGCUACGCAUACUUGAUGUUAUGGGUCCUCUGUUGCUUUUAUGGUCUGAAGCACAUCGAAUUAAGAAAGGAAAUCAAAGUAUGGAUCCUGCUGAUGUUAUUCAACUAACACAGAAGGCUAUUGUGGUAGCAGGUAAUGCUAACUAUGUCUAUAAUACUGACAAAAGAAAAACAAUGUUAGUUAAAACAAUGCCAGAUAGUCUAGACUUUUUAACUGAGAAGAAAGGCUAGAAAGCUUUGGCAAAAUCUAAGGGACAACUUUUUGGUAACAAAUUUCUUAAGUCUUUGGCUAAAGAAAACAAAGACAACAAAGAACUAAGAGAAAUUUUGUUUUUUUCUAACAAAAAAAAACAUGCUGGUAAACCUCACUCUAAUGGGAAAAAUGAUCAGUUUUUUUCAGCAGGGGACCACAAACAAUCUGCAGUCUGUGGGCGGCAGACAAGCUCUCCAACUACAAGUUUCAGGGAAGAGACAUUGGCAGGGAAAGCAGUCAAAGAACAGACAGGGUAACAGUUAUGGUCAGCGCCAGAAUCAGAGUCAGAACCAGACUCAGAACCAAACCCAGAAUCAACCUCAGAAAAACCAAGGGUUCAAGAAACCUGCAAACCGAUAGAUCGGGAUAUCCACUUUCAAAAACCCUAAUCCAACAAAAAUGGAGGAUAACUUAUCUGCUUGACAACAAGAUAUAGAAAAGCAAUCAUAUGAAUCAGUUCACCAUAAUUCCUGGCUUAACUGCAAUGUUUAUUCACGUUUAUGUGAUCCGAUGGAAAAGACGACACUAGCACCAGUUGGAACAUUCACAACUACUUAUAUCUGCAUGUCAUCAAUUGGAUUUUUAUCAUUUUGUUCACGUCUCCACAUUGUAUCUGAAAUCAUGUUUCGGUGUUUGGUGUAGUCUGUUUUACUGUCAGAUAUUUUUUGGGAUUCAUGCAGUUUUGUUCGAGCGUCACUGAUGAGUCUUUUGAAGACGAAACGCGCGUCUGACGUACAAAAUUUUAAUCCUGGUAUCUUUGAUGAGUAGUUUGUUUUAGAGAUUUCAGUAUGAUGUUUAUGUGUAGCGGUACAUAACAGUAAUAAACAGUCUGAACAUCGACUGAGUAGAUCUUCAUUGACUGAUAGCGAUUUGAUUGAACAGUACUGACCUUACUGCAGUGGAUAAGUCUGAACAUUGACUGAAAGACUAAAAUUGACUAAAAGAAUUUUUGUUCAGUCUUAUUAGAUUUGUUAAGAUAAACAUGACCGUUUCAGAUCAAAUUGGGAUGUGUUCCUUACAUAAAAACUGCUCCAACAGAGUUAUGAAGAAGAACGACUAAAAUCGACGGUACAUAAGUACAUGUUUUUGCGGUCUUAGAUCUUUAGAUACCAGUAUAGUCGUCUGAUUUGUAAUUUUACCGAUUGUGCCCUGUUCCCGAUUGUGACAUUUUGACUGAGCGUGGAUUCGCAUGGCAAGUGGUACAUGCAUAACAAGUGACGCUUACCUUGUAGCCGCACUCGGUCUCAACUGUAAAAUUCUGUCUCCUUAAUUUUCUAAGGAGUAUACCAAUGUGACCACAUCUAAUUGCUUAUUUUAUCUACUUUUACAAGGUUUUCUCAAUCCAGGAGGAUUAAUGCUGAUAAAAUGUUUGAAGAGCGAGUAAUAGAAAAUAGAAACCAAAGACAGCUUGGAAGUAAAAAACCUGACGCACAAAAUGAUGUUGAAAAUAAGUGAAAAAUAAAAAUAAAUAUACAUGCAGUAUUGCCUUUAAAAGAUGAGAUCGUUGCAGCAACGAUUUAAAGUAAACAUUUGUGCGCACCAAAAAUAGCCACCGUUCAAUAAUCUAAAGUGUAAAAAGACAAUGUGUACUUAUUGAAUUGAAUUCCCUCCUUCUUUAUUUUGUUCUUUAAUUUUGUUAUACGUUUUAAGGUAAUAAUUAAAGUAAAAUAACUUUAAAUGUUAAAAAAAUUCUUUACACUUUUUUUUCACGGGAGAAAUGAAUUCGACAAACAAAUGUGUGCCUGUUCCUGGCCUGUAGUUCAGUUGUUGUCGUUGGUUCAUGUCUGUCAUAUUUGUUUUUCGUAAAUUGUUUUGUUAUAAAUUAAGACGUUAGUUUUCUCAAUUGAAUUGUUUCAUAUUUUUCAUUACGGGGCCUUUUAUAGCCGACUAUACGGUAUGGGUUUUUCUCAAUGUUGAAGGCCGUACGGUUGCCUCUAAUUGCUUACAUCCACUUCAUUUUUAACUUUGGUGGAUAGCUGUCUCAUUGGCAAUCAUACCACAUCUACUUAUU